rnacentral:rRNA from 1 species
UAGGGAAUCUUCGGCAAUGGACGGAAGUCUGGACCGAGCAACGCCGCGUGAGUGAAGAAGGUUUUCGGAUCGUAAAGCUCUGUUGUAAGAGAAGAACGAGUGUGAGAGUGGAAAGUUCACACUGUGACGGUAUCUUACCAGAAAGGGACGGCUAACUACGUGCCAGCAGCCGCGGUAAUACGUAGGUCCCGAGCGUUGUCCGGAUUUAUUGGGCGUAAAGCGAGCGCAGGCGGUUAGAUAAGUCUGAAGUUAAAGGCUGUGGCUUAACCAUAGUAGGCUUUGGAAACUGUUUAACUUGAGUGCAAGAGGGGAGAGUGGAAUUCCAUGUGUAGCGGUGAAAUGCGUAGAUAUAUGGAGGAACACCGGUGGCGAAAGCGGCUCUCUGGCUUGUAACUGACGCUGAGGCUCGAAAGCGUGGGGAGCAAACAGGAUUAGAUACCCUGGUAGUCCACGCUGUAAACGAUGAGUGCUAGGUGUUAGACCCUUUCCGGGGUUUAGUGCCGUAGCUAACGCAUUAAGCACUCCGCCUGGGGAGUACGACCGCNGGUU